rnacentral:rRNA from 1 species
CCGGCGAAUUCACUAGUGAUGAUCNNCAGGCNUAACACAUGCAAGUCGAACGAGAUCUUCGGAUCUAGUGGCGCACGGGUGCGUAACGCGUGGGAAUCUGCCCUGNGGUUCGGAAUAACAGUUAGAAAUGACUGCUAAUACCGGAUGAAGUCUACGGACCAAAGAUUUAUCGCCCAGGGAUGAGCCCGCGUAGGAUUAGCUAGUUGGUGGGGUAAAGGCCUACCAAGGCGACGAUCCUUAGCUGGUCUGAGAGGAUGAUCAGCCACACUGGGACUGAGACACGGCCCAGACUCCUACGGGAGGCAGCAGUGGGGAAUAUUGGACAAUGGGGGCAACCCUGAUCCAGCAAUGCCGCGUGAGUGAUGAAGGCCUUCGGGUCGUAAAGCUCUUUUACCCGGGAUGAUAAUGACAGUACCGGGAGAAUAAGCCCCGGCUAACUCCGUG